rnacentral:rRNA from 1 species
UACGUAGGGCGCAAGCGUUGUCCGGAAUUAUUGGGCGUAAAGAGCUCGUAGGCGGCUUGUCACGUCGGGUGUGAAAGCCCGGGGCUUAACCCCGGGUCUGCAUUCGAUACGGGCUGGCUAGAGUGUGGUAGGGGAGAUCGGAAUUCCUGGUGUAGCGGUGAAAUGCGCAGAUAUCAGGAGGAACACCGGUGGCGAAGGCGGAUCUCUGGGCCAUUACUGACGCUGAGGAGCGAAAGCGUGGAGAGCGAACAGG